AUAAACAAUUAUAUGCUUUAUUAAAAGUUAGAAGCUUUUUGGGAUAUUUCUUU
rnacentral:tRNA from 1 species